rnacentral:rRNA from 1 species
UACGAAGGGGGCUAGCGUUGCUCGGAAUCACUGGGCGUAAAGCGCACGUAGGCGGUCUUUUAAGUCGGGGGUGAAAUCCUGGAGCUCAACUCCAGAACUGCCUUCGAUACUGGAAGACUCGAGUCCGGGAGAGGUGAGUGGAACUCCUAGUGUAGAGGUGGAAUUCGUAGAUAUUAGGAAGAACACCAGUGGCGAAGGCGGCUCACUGGUCCGGUACUGACGCUGAGGUGGCGAAAGCGUGGGGAGCAAACAGG